CUGUGUGAAUAGAAGAUAGAGCCCGUACCGCAAACCGACACAGGUAGAUAGGAAGAAGAUUCUAAGGCCAACGGGAGAAGGGUUGUUAAGGAACUCGGCAAGUUGACCCCGUAACUUAGGGAGAAGGGGUGCUCUUUAAGGAGAGCCGCAGAGAAUAGGCCCAAGCGACUGUUUAGCAAAAACACAGCUCUAUGCUAAAUCGAAAGAUGACGUAUAUGGGGUGACACCUGCCCGGUGCCGGAAGGUUAAGAGGAGGAGUGAGAGCUCUGAAUUGAAGCCCCGGUAAACGGCGGCCGUAACCAUAACGGUCCUAAGGUAGCGAAAUUCCUUGUCAGGUAAGUUCUGACCCGCACGAAUGGUGUAACGAUUUGGGCACUGUCUCAACAACCUGCCCGGCGAAAUUGUAGUACCGGUGAAGAUGCCGGUUACCCGCGACUAGACGGAAAGACCCCAUGGAGCUUUACUGCAGCUUAAUAUUGAAUUUCGGUAUUUCAUGUACAGGAUAGGUGGGAGACAGGGAACCAUAGGCGUCAGCCUAUGGGGAGUCGACCUUGGGAUACCACUCUUGAGGUGCUGGAAUUCUAACCUGUGGCUCUGAAUCGAGUCAGGGGACAUUGUUAGGCGGGCAGUUUGACUGGGGCGGUCGCCUCCAAAAAGGUAACGGAGGCGCUCAAAGGUUCGCUCAGCAUGGAUGGAAACCAUGCUUUUGAGUGUAAACGCAAAAGCGAGCCUAACUGCGAGACUGACGGGUCGAGCAGUAACGAAAGUUGGAGUUAGUGAUCCGGCGGUAUGUGAGUGGAAAUGCCGUCGCUCAACGGAUAAAAGCUACCCUGGGGAUAACAGGCUGAUCUCCCCCAAGAGUCCACAUCGACGGGGAGGUUUGGCACCUCGAUGUCGGCUCAUCGCAUCCUGGGGCUGAAUUCGGUCCCAAGGGUUUGGCUGUUCGCCAAUUAAAGCGGUACGCGAGCUGGGUUCAGAACGUCGUGAGACAGUUCGGUCCCUAUCUGUCGUGGGCGUAGGAUAUUUGAAAGGAGCUGUCCCUAGUACGAGAGGACCGGGAUGGACGCACCGCUGGUGCACCAGUUGUCAUGCCAAUGGCACAGCUGGGCAGCUAUGUGCGGAACGGAUAAACGCUGAAGGCAUCUAAGCGUGAAGCCGACCUUAAGAUAAGAUAUCCCUUCGUAAGAGUAAGACCUCUCAUAGACUAUGAGUUUGAUAGGCCUAAGGUGUAAGCACAGUGAUGUGUUCAGCCUGCAGGUACUAAUCGGUCGAGGGCUUUUCCU
rnacentral:rRNA from 1 species